CAUACCAAGUUCCAGCUGUAUCGCUUUCAAUAACAAAUGGUUAUAAGUGUUCUGUGAUCCACACUGAUCGCUGCAGAGGCAGUGGAGGUGACAGGGUGAUAGCAGAAAACAUCGAGAUAGCAUGUGAUAAGGUGGUGGAGGCAGCGCAGAGGGUUCAGCGACUCAGCUACGGUCCCUAAAAUAUUUAGGGACCGUAACUCAGCAGUGCGACCGUCGAUUCGCCGGUUUUGACAGCGAAUGGGAACUUUCAGUUGCUACAUUUCUCCGCGGGAUAUCUACCUCGGUACAUGGUAGCGCAGGCACUGCGGUGAUUUUUGCGAUUAGGUUUGUGAGUGUGAGUCUUCUGCUGACUGACUUUUUCUCCGAAGCCGUCGACCGAGCGUGCAGGGCGCCCAGCUCUUUCAGGGAUGGGCAAUAAAGAUGAACCGGUGCCUUGCUCGGUCAUCGGGUGUAAACCCAGGGAUAGAAAAGACGUCAAGACCCGGCAUACUCUGCCUCGAAAUGAGGCCAGGAGGUCUGCUUGGCUGCAGCUCAUUGGCCUGCCAUCCACCGAUGCGCGGAAAAACAUUCGUGUUUGCGGUAGGCACUUCUCACGUUUUGCCUUCAAUUACGACCCAGAGCUGAUGAGGAACAUGGACAUCGGCUGGACAUGUUUACGCCUGAAGCCAACUGCCCUGCCGACGUUGUACCUUCCUGUCAGACAGCAUGACGGUCCGCUGCACGAAGGAGAUCAUCAGCAGGUAUCCAGUGCAGCUGCAUCUUGCAACACGUGGGCUGCAUGUUCACACGAAGCUCAGAUGUGCAGAUGCGGCCAGCCCGGUGUCCUGCACACUGUUGGAACUCAAAAGACGGCCAUUACCACCUCCGCUGCUGCUACGGAAACCCCGCAGACGAAUACUGCCACGCAGGCCUGCCUCAACGUAUGCGCCCUUAAAGAUAUGGGUACACAGACUGACACAAGCACACCUCAGUGAUUCAGCAUGUGCCCCUUCAUCGCCACAAUGGAGGCUUGAGCCCACAACACCAGUGCCACAUACGAUGGAAGAGGCAGACAUCGGAAGAACUGUCAUCUGUCGCUGCUGCAUUUGAAAGAUGGAUGACAGCUUUCAAAGUGGUCCCCUGCUCCAUGUGGAAGUGAUCCCCAACUGUCAGCGCCCUGUAGUGGUUCGUGCCGUCAGUUCUAUUUUUGGGAGUAAGCAUGGAGGCUUGCAGCUGAACGCAAUGAAACCGUUCGAUUUCUUGAAGAUAAUUCGAUGCGUCUGUGAAGGACAACUCGUCUCACUGGCCAAGACAUCGGAGCCGUCUGCUGACCUGUCUUUGAAGUCGGGGCUGCUGGGAAAGACGGAAAAAAUACAACCUUUGUCAAAAACCAGCUCGCUAGUUUCAAGCAGUGGUCGUUAACUUGCAGACUGUGUGUGCACGAAUAAUCUGAUUGUGGACGCCAGUUUGCGACACCACCCCACCGUGAAUGAGCCAGAUGUUGCUUGUUGCCACGUAUGCUUCAAGGCAUUGAUCAGCUGGGAGCUGAGCGACGGCCCACAAGGAGCACUCGCACAUAAUGAACUGCACCUUCGUUACUUUGUGUAAGAACACGAAAGACUGCACAGUGCGGGACUUCCUUGCCUUGCUCUGGAAAAGGCCUACGCAAGUUCAGAAACAGGUGUAUAGCCGAAAGAGAAGAGGGCUGUGCGCAAGGUCAAACACGAACUGGAGGCAGAACCGUUAAGACCACCUGUGUGCACAACAGGCGUUUGCAACUAUUCAUUUUUAUUCUAUGUGAAGCAGAAUGUCUCGCUCACAUUUCAAUGCAUUUUUAAACUGAUGCAAUAUAUUUUGUUCAAUGGUACCGCUUGCUUCUGUCUUUGGAUGUUUAUAAGUACACUCAAAAACACAAGUUGUAUGAAAUUCUGUUUAUUUAUUAAAGGGACCGUGAAGUGGUUUUCAUAAUUUCGUACAAAUGCAUUGAUCCACUAAAGCAAGUCAUAGGGAUCAUUUGCAGACAGAUUGAAGCUCUC